UACGGAGGGUGCAAGCGUUAUCCGGAUUCACUGGGUUUAAAGGGUGCGUAGGUGGGUUGGUAAGUCAGUGGUGAAAUCUCCAGGCUUAACUUGGAAACUGCCAUUGAUACUAUCAAUCUUGAAUACCGUGGAGGUCAGCGGAAUAUGUCAUGUAGCGGUGAAAUGCUUAGAGAUGACAUAGAACACCAAUUGCGAAGGCAGCUGGCUACACGAAUAUUGACACUUAUGCACGAAAGCGUGGGGAUCAAACAGG
rnacentral:rRNA from 1 species